rnacentral:rRNA from 1 species
AGAGUUUGAUCCUGGCUCAGGACGAACGCUGGCGGCGUGCUUAACACAUGCAAGUCGAACGGAAAGGCCCUGCUUUUGUGGGGUGCUCGAGUGGCGAACGGGUGAGUAACACGUGAGUAACCUGCCCUUGACUUUGGGAUAACUUCAGGAAACUGGGGCUAAUACCGGAUAGGAGCUCCUGCUGCAUGGUGGGGGUUGGAAAGUUUCGGCGGUUGGGGAUGGACUCGCGGCUUAUCAGCUUGUUGGUGGGGUAGUGGCUUACCAAGGCUUUGACGGGUAGCCGGCCUGAGAGGGUGACCGGCCACAUUGGGACUGAGAUACGGCCCAGACUCCUACGGGAGGCAGCAGUGGGGAAUAUUGCACAAUGGGCGGAAGCCUGAUGCAGCAACGCCGCGUGCGGGAUGACGGCCUUCGGGUUGUAAACCGCUUUCGCCUGUGACGAAGCGUGAGUGACGGUAAUGGGUAAAGAAGCACCGGCUAACUACGUGCCAGCAGCCGCGGUGAUACGUAGGGUGCGAGCGUUGUCCGGAUUUAUUGGGCGUAAAGGGCUCGUAGGUGGUUGAUCGCGUCGGAAGUGUAAUCUUGGGGCUUAACCCUGAGCGUGCUUUCGAUACGGGUUGACUUGAGGAAGGUAGGGGAGAAUGGAAUUCCUGGUGGAGCGGUGGAAUGCGCAGAUAUCAGGAGGAACACCAGUGGCGAAGGCGGUUCUCUGGGCCUUUCCUGACGCUGAGGAGCGAAAGCGUGGGGAGCGAACAGGCUUAGAUACCCUGGUAGUCCACGCUGUAAACGGUGGGUACUAGGUGUGGGGUCCAUUCCACGGGUUCCGUGCCGUAGCUAACGCUUUAAGUACCCCGCCUGGGGAGUACGGCCGCAAGGCUAAAACUCAAAGGAAUUGACGGGGCCCCGCACAAGCGGCGGAGCAUGCGGAUUAAUUCGAUGCAACGCGUAGAACCUUACCUGGGUUUGACAUGGAUCGGGAGUGCUCAGAGAUGGGUGUGCCUCUUUUGGGGUCGGUUCACAGGUGGUGCAUGCCUGUCGUCAGCUCGUGUCGUGAGAUGUUGGGUUAAGUCCCGCAACGAGCGCAACCCUUGUUCACUGUUGCCAGCACGUUAUGGUGGGGACUCAGUGGAGACCGCCGGGGUCAACUCGGAGGAAGGUGGGGAUGACGUCAAGUCCUCAUGCCCCUUAUGUCCAGGGCUUCACGCAUGCUACAAUGGCUGGUACAGAGAGUGGCGAGCCUGUGAGGGUGAGCGAAUCUCGGAAAGCCGGUCUCAGUUCGGAUUGGGGUCUGCAACUCGACCUCAUGAAGUCGGAGUCGCUAGUAAUCGCAGAUCAGCAACGCUGCGGUGAAUACGUUCCCGGGGCUUGUACACACCGCCCGUCAAGUCAUGAAAGUUGGUAACACCCGAAGCCGGUGGCCUAACCGUUGUGGGGGAGCCGUCGAAGGUGGGACUGGUGAUUAGGACUAAGUCGUAACAAGGUAGCCGUACCGGAAGGUGCGGCUG